rnacentral:rRNA from 1 species
AUGAAUACUUGGAAUGAGGCAAGGCUGAGACUAAAUAAAAAUCAAACAAUUGACAAAAAUUUGCAGCAAGAAAUUGCAAAAGAAAAAGAGCGAUGGAGACAAGUUUUAAUAAGAAUUGUUGCUGCUCUUUAUCAAGAUAACAAUGGUAACUUUUUGGGAAUAAUAGAAAUGAUGGCAGAAUUUGAUCCUAUAAUGCAGGACCAUAUUAGGCGUAUUCAAAAUAGUGAAAUUCAUCAUCACUAUCUUGGCCAUAAGAUUCAAAAUGAGCUGAUUGAUAUUCUUGCACAAGGUGUUAAAAACACUAUCAUAAGGAUGAUUAAGGAUGCCUAUUUCUCUGUAAUUCUAGACUGUACCCCUGAUGUAAGCCAUCAAGAACAAAUGACUCUAAUUGUGAGGUGUGUAAACAUGUCCAGUAACACUACAAAAAUAGAAGAGUAUUUUCUGGAGUUCUUGAAGAUAAAUCCUAGAGCAUUGUACAUGCCAUGUUCCUGUCAUAGCCUCAAUCUUACACUUUGUGACAUGGCAAAAUCAUGUAGCAAAGCUAUGACCUUCUUUGGAGUUGUGCAACGAAUUUAUACAUUGUUUUUGGGUUCUACUAACAGAUGGGAGGUAUUGGUUAAUAAAUUUAAAGAUCUAACUUUGAAACCUUUGUGUGAUACUCCCUGGGAGAGUCGAAUAAAAAGUGUCCAAGCUAUUCGGUAUCAAGCUCCUCAGAUAUUGUUAGCUUUAUUGGAAUUGGAAAGAACUUCUAGUGAUGACCCAAAAACUAAGAGCGAUGCACAUUCUUUGGUUACUGCACUUAAGAAUUUUUGA